rnacentral:lncRNA from 1 species
AAUGCAAGUGUUUAACAGAUGCUUCGCUAUUAAAAUAUUUCCCCCCAAUACUGAAGAAUCUUAAACCAGGCUAGAGCGCCAGCGCUCCUCUGACCCGGCACACUUUGGCAAAGUUGCAGUGGCCUGUUUGCUUAGGCACUGAAGUGGAUGACCCAAGUUAGGAUGACAACUUGCAGAGAACGCGGAUGAGACCUUCAGUUUGUGCCCACACUCAUUUGCAGCAACCCUAACAGAGAUUGCGAAGAUUUUCAAAGUGGGGCACCUCGAUUUCUCGAAUCUGUGGUGUGGCGAAUAUCCGUGUUCCUCCUGCUUAACUAGCCUGUUUGCGGGCAUCUGUGGAAAGCAGGUUUAGUUAUCGGAGGGGAGCCAUUAAACGGACGUUUAAGAGACAGGCAGGGAGGAAGGCUCGUGGAUGUUUAGACUGCUUGCCUUGGCGAUCUUGAACGCAUUAGAACGGAAAAUGGAUCUCCACUUAAGGCACAGUUCAUUC